rnacentral:lncRNA from 1 species
GGGAGCUAAAGAAGCCGUUAUCCGUGUAUCUCCUUCUUUGCCCAUCUUCCCCAUAAUUACAAGGAAAAGUUUGUAUUGGAUUCACCAACACUACAGGAUAAACGGAGCUGUCUUUAACAAUAUUAGACACAGGUAAAGCCUCAGCAGGAAAAUGUGAAUUUUUGAAGGUGGUAAAACGAGUUUUCCUUGAUAGGAAGUUAUAAUUUCAAUGCAAGGACUAGAAUUUUAUCAACAGAAUUAGCAAGAGGGAUUUUAGCAUGUUAUGGUAACAUAUAAUUUCACUGUGAAAAAAUCCCAAAUGCUUUCGGUCUUCCAGGUUAUUAGAAUGCAGUAACAACCAGUAUGCAAUGCAUGCUGCAAUAUUACCCACAAGGGGGUUGGAUAUUUCACAGAAACCUGCCAUUAUUGAUCAUUAUGAUAAUUAUAAUUGAUAAUUUUUAAAAAAUGCUUUCAUUUUGCUAAGCUACAAUUUCUUACCUAAUUGGAUUUAUAUCCUUUCUUUCUCAAUAUUCUGCCCAUGAUUUGUAAUUAUCACAAUUCAUAAUUUUAAAAUUCUAUAGGAGAUUGUAUUUUCAAAAGCCUCCUGCAAGAAUAUCUGCCAUCUGACAUACUCUUUUGUAAUGUAACUCGCCACUAACCCGUGGAAAGAUGCAGUGUGCGUCUGAACUACCUUGCAUCUGUGUGGAGUCUGUGACUGCGAUGAUGCCGCAGACGUGCUGUCGUGUGACUUCUGAGGAUACAUCUUAAGGAGUCAAAUCCUAGUAUCUUCUCUUUUGACUGCUCAUCCUAGGGAAACUCUGCUUGGAACAUGGUACCCUUGCCAUGAGAGGCCCAACCCAUGUGGAGAAGUCAACUGUAGGUGCUCUGAGUCCACGGCCCCAGGAGAGUUCUGCAACGUCAGCCAGUGCCAACUGCCCGUGGUGUGAGCGCACCUGCCUGGACUGAGGCAGGCUUUGGAUGACUGAGUCUUGGCCAACCUCCAUCUGCACCUGCAUCUGAAACCUCAAAUAAGAACUGCAGCCAACCCAGAUAACUAUGAGAGAUGAUAAUAAAUUGUUCAAGUAUAAUAAAGUGCGGGAUGGUUGGUUAGCCACAACAGAUAGCUGAAACAGAUGCUUACAGUGGCCUCUAAGACAGUCCGGGAGCAUGCAUAGUUGACUCACCCUUCCCAGUGUCACCUUCUCUCACUCCCCAGUCCCACUCCCUGAACAUCGCGUUGCCCCUGAGGAAGUGGACUGAACAAUUUCAGUUCUCACCACAGGACUGACUAUCAGCCGCUCGAAAUGGCCAUCUUAACUGACACCGUCUUGCAGUCACUUGUGAUAAAAACUUGGCAUCUGCCACUGAGGACCCGGCCUCCUCAGAGACUUCCUUGGAGGACCAAAGGACCACCUGGCCAGACCAGGACACCUUUUGUCUUCUUCACUUUCCCCUGGACUGAUUGGUUAACCCAUUCUCCUAUCUCUUUUUCCUUUUGAUGUUAAACAUGACUUUAUUUGUUGUGAAAUGUUUAACCUACACCAUUGAUAUACUGAUUAAGUAUACUAUUAUGUUUGGUUUGCGUAUUGACUGGCCUGUGGAAUGGCUUGAGCCUGUGUGUUCCUGGCUCUGCCUAGCGAGUGACUGGGAAAUAGGAAGGAGAAUUCCUUCCUUGGGAACUCCAUGGGGUGCAUGGCUUCUGUGACUGAAAUGGCA